rnacentral:lncRNA from 1 species
GGAGACUGUGGGAGAGUUUUUAUUAAAUUCUUAGACUGUGGGUGGGUGGGUGUGUGUAUGUAUGUAUGUAUGUAUGUAUGUAUGUAUGUAUGUAUGUAUGUAUGUAUAUCCGCGCACUGCACUUGCGAUGUAUGUUGUUGGUCUGUCUGUUGGGUUGUUGUUGUACAUGUCGUACUGUACGUGAUACUACUUUAUUAGUAGUAGUACACAUACGCAUGCGCAGCAUAUGAUGGCUCCGCGGGUAUGUGGAUAUUAUAUGGGACACGCGCAUGCACGACGGUGUGGCGAUGAUGCACCCACGUAGUAGUUGUACAUGUUGUUGUUGUUGUUGUUGUUGUUGUUGUUGUUGUUGAUGGG